rnacentral:rRNA from 1 species
GACGAACGCUGGCGGUGUGCUUAACACAUGCAAGUGGUGCGACGAACCAGAGCUUGCUCUGGGGCAAAGCCGCGAACGGGUGAGUAACACGUGGGUAAUCUACCCCGAUGACCGGGACAACCCGAGGAAACUCGGGCUAAUACCGGAUGUGGUACGGAGACAUAAGUCUCUUUACUAAAGGUAGCUUCGGCUUCCGCAUUGGGAGGGGCCCGCGGCCCAUUAGCUAGUUGGUGGGGUCAAGGCCUACCAAGGCAACGAUGGGUAGCUGGUCUGAGAGGACGAUCAGCCACACUGGGACUGAGACACGGCCCAGACUCCUACGGGAGGCAGCAGUGGGGAAUCUUGCGCAAUGCGCGAAAGCGUGACGCAGCAACACCGCGUGAGGGAAGACGGCCUUAGGGUUGUAAACCUCUUUCAGAUGGGACGAAGGUGAUGCGGUGAAUAGCCGAUGUCAUUGACGGUACCGCCAGAAGAAGCUCCGGCUAACUACGUGCCAGCAGCCGCGGUAAU